UACAGAGGUCUCAAACGUUGUUCGGAUUCAUUGGGCGUAAAGGGUGCGUAGGCGGCGCGGUAAGUCGGGUGUGAAAUCUCGGGGCUUAACUCCGAAACUGCAUUCGAUACUGCCGUGCUUGAGGACUGGAGAGGAGACUGGAAUUUACGGUGUAGCGGUGAAAUGCGUAGAUAUCGUAAGGAAGACCAGUGGCGAAGGCGGGUCUCUGGACAGUUCCUGACGCUGAGGCACGAAGGCCAGGGGAGCAAACGGG
rnacentral:rRNA from 1 species